rnacentral:lncRNA from 1 species
GAGGUUGUGAUAAGCUCAUCAGUAUUGAUUGGCAUGGUUUACGACAAUUGCGUUCUCUUGUUGAAUUAGAAAUCACCGCAUGUCCCAGUUUGAGUGAUAUCCCAGAGGAUGAUUGGUUGGGCGGCCUCACCCAACUGCAGAAAUUGAGCAUCGGUGGUUUCUCAAAGGAGAUGGAGGCUUUUCCUGUACGAGUUUUAAACUCAAUCCAACACCUCAACUUGAGUGGGUCCCUGACAAGACUAUCGAUAUAUGGAUGGGAUAAACUGAAGAGUGUACCACACCAACUUCAACACCUCACUGCCCUCGAGACAUUGCGGAUAAUGUAUUUCAACGGGGAGGAGUUAGAGGAAGCAUUGCCAGAAUGGAUGGCCAACCUUUCUUCUCUUCGAUGUCUUGACAUUCAUAACUGCAUGAAUCUCAAGUAUAUGCCAAGUUCAACAGCCAUUCAACGCCUCUUCAAAUUAAAGGAAUUGACUAUCUGGGGAUGUCCACAUCUUAAAGAAAAUUGUAGAAAGGAGAAUGGCUCUGAGUGGCCCAAGAUUUCUCAUAUCCCAAGAAUCUAUAUAGAGGGUACACGUGUAUAGGUAAGUUGGGGUUUUAAUUAUUCAGUUACUUUGUAGUAUGCUGAGGAGAGAGAACCAAUUAAAGUAUUCAAAUUAAUGAAAGCAAUAAUAAAACUUCAUUCUUUUAAGAAUGGUUUAUUUCUCAUAUCCCAACAUUCUUUAGACUAAUAUCAAAAUUAACCAAAUCAAUCAUAAUCAAAUAUCUUAUUAUCUUUUAUUAUUAUGUUAACCAAAUUUAUACUUGUGAUCAAUGCUAAUAUCAAUAACCAUAAAUCAUUAUUUUUGUGGAAUAUAUAGGACGGACACUAUCAAAUGCUAUUAUUAUUUAGCUUCUACUAUGUAUCAAAAUAUACACAUAUCAAUGAUAAAAUCAAUAGCAAUCCAACAUUAUUCUAAUAUCAUUCUUACAAAAUAAUUUAACUUAUAUUUAUUGCAUUGUCUAUGUAGUAUUAUUUAUUUUAAAAUCAUCAACUUUAUAUACAAUUAUGAUUCUUAAAACAAACCAUUAAAUCUUAAAAUUAAAUACUUUAUAUACAUAUGAAUUUAAUGAUGAUUUGUUAAAAUUGAAAAAUUAUAACCAUGAAGUCAAUAAUUUAAAAUGUCAUUAGACUUUUGCUUUCUAAAACAAUUACCUAAUCAUUUCUUGCCUAACCAAUUUUAACUUAGCUAAUUUCAUUUAAUAACAACCAACAAGAUUAUUACUGAGAUUACUAACCAAUUACUUUUUAGUAACAAAUACAAUUAAAGCUAAAAACACUCUUUAGCUGACACCAAGAUUAAAAAAAAAAAGAAGGCAAACUUGGCUCCAGUUUAUAUAAAAUAUAGAUUUAUAAAUUAUAUAUUGAUAAUAAAUUAUCUAACUCCAACCAUUUUGAAUUUUAGCGUUGUUUAUCUUUCAAUGGUUGACACCAUGUUAGCUAUUUUAACUGUUGUAGGAACCUCCAAGACGCGACGCCAUGGAAUGGUUAUUUGAAGCUUAUGCAAACUAGUGUUUAUCAGGCUAAAUGUGGAUAAAAUGUGUGACUUGCACAGUUUUUUGUGGUAUUUAUGAGAUAAGUGUGUUUGUUAGAAAUGGAUAUUUAGAGUGUGUUUGGUAUUAUUGUAGCUGUUGUGAUUGUGGUUUGAAAACAAUUAUUUUAUAAAAAGUACUUUUAAUUGAGGUGGUUUGAAAAAAUAGAUGUUUGGUUAAAACUGUGGUUGAAAUUGAGGUUGAAGAAAAAAUAAUUUAAUGUGUUUGGUUAAGAAUGCUUUUAAAAUUGAGUUUAUAAAAUAAUUUUAAAAAAUAUAUAUUACUAUUGAUAUUUUUAAUUUAAAUAUUGUGGAUUUAACUAUUGUUAUUACAUCAUAAAAUAAAUCAUACUUUAUAUAAAAUAUAUUUUUUUAUUAUUCCAUUGAACGAUCUACAAUUCCAUCACAUCUGAAAUACAUCUGGCAAUUUUCUUGGUUUCUUUAACACGCAACAACAUAACUUGUAAAAUAUAAUCAGGAACAAAUUAGAAUUGUGAUCAAAUUCUGCAAAUACUAUAUCAUCAAGCAAAUAAAACACAAUUAAAAAAUAAAAAAAUAUAUAUUUUUUACUGGGUCGGACCCGGUUCAAUGCAUUUUGCUGCUCCACGAAAGGCAACCAUGCUACACUGUUCAGUGAGCAGUGUAGCAUGGUUGCCUUUUGUUGCCGCGCAAGAAAGCAGCAACUUGCUGCUUUCCAUCUCCCUGCGUUUCACACACAAUUUGUUGUGGAACCGAUGCAUAUUAAGUAGUUUUUUUUCUUAACCAAAUGUUUAUUCAGUGUGUUUUUGAAGAAAUGCAAACUCUAACGCGUAGCCAAACGGGCUCUUAAUGGCCAUGGAAAUGGCCGUCCCAAUCCACCGCCGACAUGCUCCUAGUGUUGUUACUGGUUUUAUAACAGUUCGAUGGCAUUAUAGUAAAUUAUAAAAGAAAAUAAUUCACGGCACAAGAAAAACUUAACCAAGAUUUCUUGAUGUGUAAUUGUAUAAUAAUAUUUUUUACAUUGUCGGAUGGGGAAAAAAAUCAAAGCUAAAAGUAUUUAAUUGAUUAAAAAAAUGUGGUUAAAUUUGUGAUAUCCUUGAUCGGUAGCAACUAUAUGCUAUAUUACUCUAUUCACAAAAAUAUCUUAUUCGACUUUUAAAUAAAUAUAAUCUCAGUUCCAUAUAAAUAUCACUAACAGGUUAUAUAUAUAUAUAUGUUGAUAGAGCUUUCAAAAUAACUUUUAAAAAUCUUUCAAACACUUAGCUUUUAAGGAAAAAAAAAAAAAAACUUUUUUUACUAUCUUCAGUAUGGGCAUUACUUCAAUCCGUAUUUUUUGCCACCAAUGCACCAAUUCUUGAGCCACAAUGGGCUUCCUCAACAGCCAUCGACUGGCAAUGCAUUUCUUCCACCAGCACCUGCUGCUCCUGGUGUCAGGUUCUCGUUCCCUCUUCCACAAUUUAAGCCCGGAACUACUGCCAGAAACCCAACUCCAGUUGCACUCCCAACUUUAUAUGGAUCAUAUGGCUCUUCCCCUAUGGGCUUCAAUCCUGGUCCAGCUGUGUCCUCUGGAAGCUCUGCUGGUAACCAUGAUCUAUCAGCAUUUCAGUUGAAGGAAAGAAAUAUCUACACUACAGGAUCACUGGUUGGUUUUACUUUUCGUUUCCAUAGCUUAAAGUCUUGGAAUGUUUCUUAGUUUUUGUUGUGGCGGUAUGAGGAGAAACGAAUAUGAUCUGCCUUGCUAUUUGCUGCACAGUGAAUGGUAUUUUUUAUUGUUUUCAAGUGCCAAAUCAGUGCACUGCAGCUAUCAAUAUUAAGUGUAUUGCAUCAUUCUGUCCUUGAUUGCUUAUUUAUUUUAUUUUUUAUUGGACGCUGCAUUAGUUCUUUUAAUUUCUGAUUAAUCAUUUUCUUUCUUUUGGUCAUGGUUGAUGCAGAGCGAAGUUUCAUCUUGGAUUCCUCCACCUGCGCAAGAUAUAUCCAGCUUGCAGCUCAGUUCCUUGUACCAACUUCACCCUCAGGGACAGCACCUCACCUUCUCUCCUCCACAGGCUGGGCAUGGCACCUUUCCUGCAACUGUUGAACCUGUGAUAGGCUGGGCUGGGCAUGGCACCUUUCCUCCACUUAACUUUUUUUUUUCAUUUCGAUAAAUUAGAAUAAAAAAAACAUAUUUUUAUGUUCUCUCUUAACAACUUCCCUUUUCUUUCAUUACUAUAUUAAGGGUAUAAGUAUUACAUUGUUUGUUAUGCAUGACAUUCUUGUCAUAUUAUCAUGGUCUAUACAACAAUAAAUGACAUACAUCCAUAGACACAACAUCAUAUCAAAUACUAUCAAAAUAUCUCUUACCUAUAAAAAAUAAAACAAGAUAAUAUUCAUCCAUGAUUACAUUGGGAUCUCGAUUCAUCUACUUCAAUUUGUAGGGUAUAUGGUGUUUUUUUUUUUUAAGUUGCAACUUCUCUACUACUUCAAUUAACACCACCUUUUCACAAUUACCACUAUCAAUAAUCAAAUUACAUACACUGUCCUUGAUGGUACAAGUUGAAAGAAAAAGACUAGUGUGUAGCCAAUCUUGAUUUGAAUCACUUUUAAGAAUAAGCAAACUCUUUUGGAUAAUUGAGGUAGCACCAUCAUUAUCUUAGAAAACCUCCUCACUACCAUAUUAAUCAUCAUAAAUAGGAUCACUUCUCUUCUCAUUAUGCUAUUUUACUUACAAAUGUUUACACUUACGACUCUUUGGUUUAUGGCACUUAUAAAUUCAAUGUCCUAAUUCAUCAUAUCUAAAACACUAAAAUUUAAAACCAUAUCUAGAACUUGAACUUUAACUUGUGAUAUAUUUAGUUAUCGAUUCGGGCUAAAUGAAUGAUAUUUUUUUUGUUAGCGCACACCUCCUUAUUAUUUUGGUCAAAUCAAAAGCCACCUUUGUUAAUUACCCUAAUAACCUAUUGUUUAUCCAUAAUCAAAGCUCUCUUAUAGGCUUACAAAACUAUUUAUAAAGAAUGCAAACACAAUACAUCUUGCAUGAACUAUCAUAAUCUACUUUAAGUACCUAGCAAUCAACUACUCUUUCUGAAAAAUCAUUCUUAGCCACCGGUUGGUAGAGUUUUCAAUGUACUUAGCAAUAGUUCUCCCAUCCCAAUGUAUGGAGUCAUUGGUAAAAAGUUUAAAUGUAUCCAAACAGAAAAAAGUGUUCCUUUAUCUUUCUCUUUAAUUGCUUCCACCAAGCAUAAGCUCGCCCUUUUAAUCUAAUACCAAUAAGCUUCACCCUUAUCUGCUCUUAAACUUUUAUGCACUUGAAAAUCCUUUAUACUUCAUUCAACUAAACGAUAAACUCUUCCACUUGUAAAGUUCCUACAAAAUUAGAAAGUUUAAUUUAAAAAUCAAAAUCUCCAUGAAGUGCUGCCCAAUUAAAAGGUUGCCUCCUCUAGAUUAGCCAGGGUUCACAAUUACUCUCCUCCUAUUCUUGUUGGGUGUUUUAUUUCAAUUGUCACGUAAGCUUUGCGAUCUACCUUUGUAUAUCCUCAAUUUCUAGCUCAUGAACCUUUUUCUCUAAAGAGGAAACCUCUUCAUCCUCUCCUUGAACAUGUUUAGUUUUAUUAUUUUUUCCAGCUAUGGUUGUUUUGCAGCAUACAACAAGCAAACAAUAAUCAAAGAUUGUUAGGUUCUGAUACCAACUAAUAUAAACAGAAAUAAUACAAAAAAAUAGCAAAAACAAACAACACAAUUCUACUAAAAAGGAUCAUCACACCAAAAACCAGAAUUCAAAAUUUUAUUUCUUAAUAAUUUACCAUGUCAAGUAGUUUCCUUUGUAAGAGAUUUACAACUCCUUAAAUAAACUAAAAAAACACCUAAACAAACUAAAAACAUUGAAAAAAAAAAUAAUAAUAAUAAAAAGCAAUAAAAUUCAUAAACAAAAAAAAAUAAAAUUAAACAUAUUUUAAAAUAAAUAGAAAAAAAAGAUAAUAACUAAGAAAAAUCAAUUUUCCAAAAAGAAAAAAUAAUCACCUCGGAAACUUUAUUGUCCCUUCAUUUAUUCGACUAGCUAGUUUGGGCAUGUAAUCACAAUACGAGGCUUCAAGACACCUUGCUCAUACAUUAUUUAUAACCACACUAAGGAACACAGUAUAUCACAAGCAUUAACAAGUAGAUACAUCUGAAGCCAUUUUAAAGGCUUACCUCACCUUCAUAGAACUUGGAUACCUAUAACAAGCUUAACAGCUUGAAAUGUUAUCUUCAUUGAACUUAGAUACCUAUAACAGGCUUGACAGCUUGAAAUGUUCUAAAGCAGAGAUCCCAUCGAGUCCUUUUGCAUAUUAUUCCCAUUUUUCUACAUGAAAAACGGAGUUUGAAAGUAUUUCCUACUUUUUACUGGUCCAUUUGGAUCUUGGGGAAAAAGAGGGCCAGUCAGUCAAAAAUAGCUCAAAUAUUUGAAAGCAGCAAUUUACUAAAACAAAAACACUUUUUAACAUCAAAACAGCACCUGGAAACAGCAAUAACAAUCACAAACCUCCCAAGAACACAAAAGGGUCUAUAUAUACUAUACACAAAUAUACAAUUAAAAGGGAAGAAAAGGCUUGAAAUUUAAGGACAUGCAGUCACGAGAGAAAUGAAAAGAACCCACCACAAGAUGAUCAAGAAAACGUAAGAAAGAUAAAGAGAACUAAAUACAAGAAUUAAUUAAAGAUUUUAAAAAAAAGAGAGAAAAGAAUUGUCAAAAAAUUGGAGGGAGAGAACGAGAGAAACGUACGAGAAGCGAAAAUUGGAGGGAGAGAACGAGAGAAACGUACGAGAAGCGAAAAGAGUUGUAGUAAUAGGCGUAGAAAUCUCUGUGCUUUCCAUGUUGUCGAAAUACGAGAACAUGAGAGCGAGAGGUUUGAAAAUUAAUUUAAGAAAACAAUUUCUUUUUACAAUUUUUUUUUUAUUUUCUUUAACCUUAACUUCAAAGUAUACUUAUAAAACCCGACACAAGGGAUUGAUCGAUGUUAUGGAUAUGAAAGGUAAAUCUAGGUUAAAAUAUAAUAUUUUAAAAUUAAAACUUCAUUGUUUUCUUUUUUUAAAAAAAGAUAUUAACGGGUGAAGAGUUGGUAGAUUAUUGCAUAAACCCAGAUUUUUUACUAAGUUAAUUUUAUUAUUAUUGUUAUUAUUUUCUCAAUCUAAACUAGUUUAGUUCUCGUGAGAUUUCAAAUUGUUUACCGGAUUACUCAGGUUUUAUAAUUAUGACUUACAGAUAUAUUUUAAAAAAUAUAUAUAAUUAUUAGUUUUUUAAAUACACCAUCUAUUUAAAAAUAUAAUUCUUAAAUCAUUUAAGAAUAUUUUGAACAUAAGCUUAGAAGGUUAUUUUUUAAAAUUAUGAUUAAAUUAUGCUUUCUUCAUCGAAAUAUAUUUUUGUUUUUAUUUUUUAUUUUUUUGUUCAAAUACAAUAAUCAAACAUUACUUUUAUUUUUUAUUUUUUUUAAAAUAAUAAAAAUUAACUGUAAAAUUAUUGUAUAGAAAUUUAAUUUAUGUUUUCAUCUCCACCUCUCUAUGAUCAAACACAUUUUUAUUUUUUUUUUGCUGGUUUAUUUCUUCUAAUAUAUUAUUAGACAUAAUAGGAUAUUUUUGUUGUACAUUCGAUUUUUUUAAUUAAUUUUCAUAAAUAUCCUUCUUCAAUUAAAUUUUACGAAUAAACUCGGAGCAAUACCUUGGUGAGUAGACUCACAUGCUACCCAUGUGAUGAUAAUAUCAAAUCCACCAUAUUUCUUAGCUAUCGGAAAAAGUAGUGUUUCAUUUAGGUUUUCCCAAUACAAGUUGUUCACUGGACACAUCUUACCAAAAGAUACAAUUCAUUAUAUAGUAACCAGCCUAACUAGUGGAGGGAGUAACCAUAUUGUUUUUAUUUAUAUGGUGCUCAUACUUGAAUUGAUGUAUUGAUGAGGAAUAAUUUUCUUAUAAUUUUUUGUAAAAUUUAAAUAAGUGAUAAUAAUAUAAGAAAUAUAUUUAUUUAUCAAUUAAAUAGGAAAUGUUUGUUUUUGUAGUUUAAUAUAUUUUUUAAAAUGCUUUUUAAAUUUCUUUUCCACCUGAAAUAGUAUAAAAUUAAUAUUUUUAGGUGUUUUUUGAUGGUUUUGAUAUACUAAUAAAAAAUAUUAUCUUAAUAUAUUUUAAUUAAAAAAAUAUGUACCGCCUUACAAAAUACACACUUGUUUUAAAAAUAUAUUUUUUAUAUUGACAAACAAACAUAUUAAGAUUUCAACUCUUGAACACAAUUAAAAAAAAAGUAAAUAUUGGGAUAAUCAAUACUUUUAAAUCUAGAAAAAUUCAAAUAAAUAAUAAAAUUAACUCAAUUCAUAUUUUCAAAGUUUAAUUUAAAAGUAUUUUAGAGCUCAAUUAGUCAAAGUCAAUUGAGUUUUUUUAUUUAACUGAACUUAUAGAAUGAUUCAAAGAAUUUUGAUUCUGAUUUAAUAAUUAUAUUGAAAAUUAUAAUUUUUUAUUAUUAAAUUAUAGUUUGAGCAAAAAAAAUUUAAUUGGAUGAUGUUGGAAAUUUAAAAUGACGGAGAUCAAGUAAGAUUAAAUUAUGGUUAAGGUAAAUAUGUCAAUUUUCCAAAUAAUUUGGUAAGAAAAAAACCAAAGAAGCUGUAUCAUGAUAUCAUCUGAUGUAUAAUGAAAAAAUGUCGGGUCCCUUGAAAAGUACCAUCUCAAUCAUGCCCAUGAAUGUUCUUUUAACGUCUUACCAUUGGUAAAAAAACCUAAUUUUGUUCUAGAAAAAAACUGUCGGUUGUCUAAAGAACAAGUACUAUCUCUUAGUCAAGGUGAGAAGAAUUUACUUUUCUCAUGAUUAUCUAAAUUUAUUUAGCCCCGUGUUUAUUUACUAAAAAGUAAUUUUUUUUCUUUUAAAAAGUAGUAAGAAAGAAAUUCAAGAAAAAUAAAUUAUUUUAUAAUAUCUAAUAGUUUAAUGAAAAGUAAAUUAAAAAAUAUUUUUCAGUAUUUGGUUAUGUUAUGGAAAAUAAAAUGAAAAAUAGCCUAUUAUUGUAUUUAUUUUUUUUAAAAUUUAUUAAUAUAAUAAGAAACAAAUCUUAGAAAUUAAAACAUUCAAUGAGAAUGAAAUUGAAAAAAAUCUAAUUUAAUAAAUUAUUUCAAAGAAAAUAAAUAAUAAUCAAAAUAAUAGAGAUCAAAUCUAAUAGAUAAAAAAAUUAAAAGAUAAUGAAAUUAAAAUAAUAAUAAUUAACAUUUCAUCAAUUAUUUCAAAUAAAAUAAGUAGCAAUCAAAAGAAUGAGGAUCAAAUUUGAUAGAUAAAAAAUUUGAAUUAAAAAAUGAUAAGGGAAAAUAACAUAACAAUUAUAAAAAUAAGGAUCAAAGUUAAUAUAAAAAUUAAAUUCUAAGGGAUGAAAUUGAAAAACAAAUAUUCAAAACAAAAUAUAUAUAGCAAUCAAAAGUUUGAGUAUUAAAUUUGAUAUAAUCAUCAAAUAAUAUGACAUUUCCUAAUAUGACGCCGUUUCAUAUAUAUAUAUAUAUAUAUAUAUAUAUAUAUAUAUAUAUAUAUAAAAAAAGGACCAGAACGGUGUCGUUUUGAACGACACUGUUCAUCUUCCUCCUUCCCCCCGAAUUAGCAGCAACAAGAGACGAAAACAUUUUCAAACCUUCCCGCCUCUCUCUCCUCGCCCCCCACCGAAGCCCCACAAGACCACCGAACGGGUCACUGGCCGACCAGCCGUUGCGUGAUUGAAGGCGCACUAGCGAAAGGCACACCGGCUUCUUUUUUUCCUUAUAAAUAGAGAGAGACCGAAGGAGAGAGGGAGACCCGAAGAUAGAGGGAGAAGAGAUAUAACGCACGAAAGAGAGAGGAGAACAGAAACAAACCGAAAAGAAAGAAACCGAAACAAAAAAACAAAAAGCAAACCGAGACAAAGAAAGCCACUGAGAACGAAAAAACAGGGGAAAGGGGAGGAGGAAGAAAUUUCUCGCCACUGUUAGAAACAGCAGCAACGCUGCCCGGAGCCGCCGUCCACGAGCCGCGCCACCGCAGCCCCGCCAGCAAACCACCGUCUCCGCCGCGCCAGAUACGCUCUCUCCCCUGCAUUUUUUUUUUACCUGUAGGUUUCGUCUCCUACAUGCAGAAUUGUUCUGCAUGCAGGGGACGGGGGGGAAAAUAAUUCCCCCCCCCCGUUCUGUCUUCUCUUCUGGGCCAGACGGGUUCUGGCCCAGAAACAUGUAUAUGGGCCAGAAGGAUUCUGGCCCAACCCGGCGGUCUGGGCCGGGUCCGGCCCAGACCAAGUUUAUACCUUUCUUGGGCCGAAAUCGGCCCAGUCACUUUUGGGCCGAUCCCAGCCCAAUAACUUGUGGGGCUGAGCCCGACCCAGUUAGUUGGGCCGGCCCAGCCCCUUAAUAUAUUAAUAUAUUAUAAUUAUAUUAUAUUAUUAUAUUAUAUUAUAUUAUGUGUGUGUGUAUAUAUAUAUAUAUAUAUAUAUAUAUAUUUUAAGGGGGUUUGUAUUUUUUUUUAUACUGUAGAGGUAUAAAUUCAGUAUUUAAAAUAUCCGAUUUUUGUCGAGACACCCAAAAUUUUCAAAUAUAAAUUUUUUUUUGCUUUCAAAAAAUUUCUUAAAUUCCUUAAAAAUAUUGUUGAUUUUUUCCGUACAUUUUUUUAAAAAUGACUUAAUAUUAGUUUGUAUUUUUUAUGCUGUGGACAUACAAAUUCAGUAUUAAAAUACCCGAUUUUCGUCAAAAAAAAAAAAUUGUUUAAAAAAAAUAUGUUUUCUUGCGUGUUGCAUACGGCCAAUACUCUAACAUGUUUUGAAUGUUCUUUUUAUAAAAAAAUAUAUUGGAAGCUUCGAAAGUGUGUUUUCGCAUAGAUUUCUUAAACACAAAUUAUUUUCUUGCAUUUCUGGAUUUUACAACAUGUUUGUAAAACUCCAAAGGGUAUUGGCCAAUAUUCCAAAAACUAUAAAAAUCUUAUUUUUGGGGAGAAAAUUUAUUUAUUAUUCACCGCUAAUGUUUGGAUAAAGAAAUCCUUAAAAUGAUGAAUAUCCAAAAUAUUAUUGGGAGUAAUAAAUCCGCACACAUUCUUGAAAGAAGCCUUGAUUAUAAUCGAGGACAUUUCAAAAUUUUAAUUUUUUUUUUCCACGAUUUAUGAGUCGCAAACUUUUGAAAUACUAAGGGAAAAAUGAGCUUUCAAAGCACAUGGAAUCUCCUUAGAUUUCUAUCCAAAAUCAAUUGAUGAGCCUAGAAAAUACCAACACCAUAGCAAUUGUAGAGCAAACCAAACACCAAGCAGCUUACCUUAGGUAGGGCGUACUAGGGGUGCUAAUACCUUCCCUUUACGCAACCAGUCCCUUGCCUUAGAGUCUCUGAAAGACCAGUUAGGGUUCCUAGUGACCAGAAUACUAGGUGGCGACUCCAAAGAACCAAAUUCAGCAAAACAGAACAAAACAAAAGUCGCCAGUCGAAUGUCGCAAUAACAAUUUUUUUUUUGUUAUUUUUUUUGUGGGGUGCGACAGAAUUGCGACUCCACUGGGGACCCUUGGACUAAGCUUGAUUUGUUUGUUUGUUUAUGUUAUGUGUUAUUGGUUUUUGUUUUCUUAUGAUGCUUUGUUUAAAAGCUUUGGCAUAUAUCUUUACAUUCUAUCAUACAUGGCAUAGUCAUGCAUCACUUUAUUAUUAUUAUUAUUAUUAUUAUGUUUUGGAGGGCACACACAUGUAACUUUAAGUUUAAGUGGGGGACUAGCAGCUUGCCUUAUGACUUGAGUCAAGGUUUAAGUUUGUGUAAACCCCAACUCUUUGCUGAGUGUUUAGACUGAUUGUGAUUGGUACACGUACCAUCCCACUAUCUGCUAGACCUCCAUAUCGCCUUUACGAAGGUUGAUCACUGGAACAACAAGAGACACUCUUUUAGAGACCCAAUAGUAAACCUACCCUAUGUCUCACGUAGAGAAAUUAGAACCUAUCCUUAGGGUGUAUGUUCCAACAUAUCUUUUGCAUCCAAACAAAGUCUAAACCCCAAUGCAUUUUGAAUUGCAGGACUUGUGAACGAAAUGGCCAUCAUCACUAAAUCUUCCAUCUUAGAAUAUGGAAAAAAUUCUGAACUGUCACAAUUGACUGAAGGAGACUGCCUUAGAAGCGAUGCUAAAAAGAUGUCACCAAUCAAGAACCUGAAUUGCGUAUUGAAUGAGGUGAACAAGUUAACGACUCAUUUUCAGAAUGUGGAUAAAGAUGCAUUUUUUAGGAAAUACGGACGUUUGAUGGAAAUUGCAAAGGUAGAAGUUUUAAGCCCAGCUGUGCGAGCUUUAGUUCAUUUUUGGGAUCCAGACUACCGAUGUUUUUCCUUUGGAAGCAUAGACUUGUGCCCCACGGUUGAGGAAUAUGGAUUGUUGACCGAGUUUCCCAACGACCUGUAUCGGAUUUAUUCUCCUUUAAGAUCCGACAAGAUCAUCCCUGAACUGUCAAAGCUGCUCAGAAUCUCCAACUUGGAAAAGUUUCAAGAGAAGAAUGGUACCGGUUUGAAAUGGAGGAUGUUAGAAUUGGAAAAGAAGUCAGGAGUAGAAAAAGAGAGAUUGAUUGCCCUAGGUAUAUUUGGCCUUGUGUUGUUCCCAAGUCAGAUUGGUUUAGUGAGUUUGGAGGCCGCUGCUGCUUACGUGGAGUAUGAGAAUACACGAAUCAAUCCAGUGGCUGCUAUUUUAGCAGAAACAAUUUUGACACUUAACCAUUGUAGGAGGGCCGGAAAAGGAGCAAUGAGAUGCUGUACGCAACUGUUGUAUAUUUGGAUGGUUAGCCAUAUCGAGACAAAGAAACCUGUCUUCAAUAAUUUUUGGUGGUUCACCCAAAAACCCCUCAAGUUAGUAGAAGAAGAAGAAUGGGGAGAUCUAGACAACCAGGGUUGGGUUGAUAAAUUAAGUGGAGGGCCCCAUGGGUAACGACAGUGAAGGUCCUAAUGAGUUGUGGACACAGGCGUUGGGUACCAUUGGUGGGGAUUAUGGGUUAUGUGAGUUAUGCUCCUGCCUUAGUGGUAAGACAACUUGGGGGCAUGUAGUUCGUUCCCAGGACUAUGGGAAUUGCUCAAUUCUCUGGUUUGUUCAAAGAUCCCAUGGCAGAAGAGGUUUUGGAGAUCAUCAAGCAAGAUUGGAAGCAUCUAGUGUUGGUGGAGAUAGAAGGGUUAAGAGAUCCAAGUGUGAGCGAAGGAUAUGUAAAAUGGAGAGACUCAGCCACUUCAGCCACCCCUCGCGUAGAAGCUAAAUCUCCUCAAGUGUAGCGGAGCCUAUUAAGAGAAAAAGGGUGAACAUUGAAGAUGAUUCAGCUGCUUCAGCCAUGCCUUGUGUAGAAGUCAAAUCUUCUCCAACUGUAGAGGAGCCUAUCAAGAGAAAGAGAGUUAGUAAUGAAGAAGACUUGAGAAGGCAAGUGGAGAAACUACGAAUAGAAUUGAGCAAGAGCAGAAAAGACAAAGCAAUGUUGGAAGAAAUGAUGCUAGAACAGGAUAAAAUGAGAACAUUUCUAGAUGAGCAAAUACAGUCUAGAGAUGAGAAAAUAACAAAGCUGGAGUUAAAGUUGGUUGAGGAGAAGAUUGCUAAGGAAGGAAGUGAGAAGGAGCUUAAAGGGAUGAGUUUGGAUUGGAUGCAAAGUUGCUCUGAACUUCAAGCAAUGGAGAUGGACUUUAGCGAUUGCCAAGAAAGUGCAGAAUAUUACCAAGAAAAAUUUGCACAAGUGCAAUUCGAGCUGAUGGAUAGGAUUAGGAAGUAUGAGGAUUUGAAUAAGAAAUAUAUGGAGUUGGAAAGCGAAAAGGGAGGAUUCGAGGAUGUUAAAGCAGAGUUAGCAGUCAAGAAGAAUGAGAUAAAAGUCAUGAGGAUAAAGCUUGACAAAGAACGAGAAAAGUUGAAGUAUUUAGAUGAAAAGCUAGUAGCAAUGGAGAAGCACAAAGAUCAAAUCGACGCCAACAACACUGCUUUAAACAGAACCAACAUGUUGCUCAUAGAAAAAAUGACCAAAACAGAUGAGCAAAUGGACGAAGCUGCUGCACAUGCUCGAAUGGUCAGAAUCAAUUCGCGGAAUGUGGGGGGAGACAUCAUUCGCUAUCGCCGAAGCCUAGCUGAAACCGAUGCCUUUCUAGGGAAGAUUGAGAACCGUGGUUUUGCUUUCUUACCUUUGGCCAAAGAGUUUAGGGAGGAAAGGGAUUAGCAUGUUGUAUUUCUUUUAUUUCUAAAUGUAUUUUUAUCCAAGCAUUAAUGAAAAGGGCGUUGACCCAUCUUCUUAUGCAAAAAUCUGUCUCUUGGUGAACAUGAUUCAAGCAAACGACUCGAAAGGCAGAACUCCUAUCAAAGCAAUGUGACAAGAGAAGGCUUAUAAUGUGAUGGUUGUUAUUCGUUCACAAAAAAGGAUGCAUCCAUACCCAAUAAAAUGCAUCAUCAUGCAUCCAUCACAAUCAUACAUUUUCUCAUACAUCUAUGCAUGCAUUUGCAGAUUAAGAAACAUAGGUCCCCCUCCUAGAAUCCACAACACUCGACAAAGAGCAAGAAUGGAAAACGAAGGAAGGUCACAACCAGAAUCUCAGUACCAAAGAGAACUCGAAGGAGUUCGGAAUGAUGUGGCGCACUUAACAAGUAUGUUAGAGCAAUUAUUAAGAGCCAGAGAUGGAGAGGGAACAUCUACUCAACCUAAUGAAGCACCAGCAGCAGCUCAAAUUCCUGUCGCACCUAUAAACAUAGGGGCAAAUACACCAACUAAGCAGAGUCCUGCUCGGCCCAUCCAAAUCCCUAUUACAAUGGAUUUAACAAACGAAGAUCCACAUGACUUUAAAUUCUCUAAUCAUGAAGGAGAUGAUAAGUGGACUGCCCUAGAAGAGAGGCUAAGGGCAAUUGAAGGAAAUGAUUUGUUUGACCCAAUUAGGGCCGCUGAGGUAUGUUUAGUACCUAAUAUUGUCAUUCCAAAGAAGUUUAGAGUGCCGGAGUUUGUUAAGUAUACUGGGAUGGAAUGCCCGAAGACCCAUCUCCGCUCCUACUAUAACAAAAUGGCAGAGGUUAUCCACGACGAAAAUGUUAAUUACUUCUUCCAGGAUAGUCUGACCGGAUCGGCCCUCAGUUGGUAUAUGAGGUUAGACAAUAUUAGGAUCAGGAAGUGGACAGACUUGGCGGACGCUUUCCUGAAGCAAUACAAGUUUAAUCUAGAGAUUGCUCCUGAUAGGACCAGUCUGAUCAGCAUGGAGAAAGGAAGUCAAGAGUCCGUGAGGGCUUAUGCUCAAAGGUGGCGAGACCAAGCUAUCAAUGUGCAACCUCCGCUGAUAGAGACAGAAAUGGUGACUUUGUUUGCCAAUACUUUCAGGGCUCCAUACUAUGAACACCUUAUGGGUAGUUCAGCACAACAUUUCUAUGAUGUCGUGCGGAUCGCCGAGAGGAUUGAACAAGGGAUCCGAAGUGGGAGAAUUGCAGAACCUCUAGAGAAGAGAGGUUUCAUUGGAAGGAAGAAAGAAAUUGAGGUGAACAACCUAGAAAGGAGAAGCAAAAACUAUCAAAUACCUACCCCCCGAGUCACUAGUAUUAACUUUUCCAAACCCCCCACUCCAAACCAGCCCAAUCAAAUGAAAUUCCCAGCAAAUAACCACCACAAUUACCAAAGAAAGGAUAAGCAACCAUCAGAAGAACAACUACCUCCUUUACCAAUAACCUUGAAAGAGUUGUAUGCCAAGCUGUUGAGUAUUGGGCAGAUAGCUCCCCUACCCAUACCACCUAUGCAGCCACCUUUCCCUGCCUGGUACAACCCCGAGGUAACUUGUGAAUACCAUGCUGGUCACGCAGGCCAUAGCAUUGAGUCUUGCUUUGCUUUUAAAAGAAAGGUGUUGCAACUGAUCAAAGUGGGAUGGGUCACUUUUGAGGAUUCGCCUAAUCAGAAUUCAAACCCUUUACCUAAACAUGUUGAUGGUAGGGGAGGAGUGAAUACCAUGGAGAUUGGUAGCAAAAAGAGGGUGUUGAAAGUGACCAUGGCCAAGCUAUACUGAUGUUGGUACAGUCUGGACAUUUGGAAGAAACGACUGAGUACUGCACAGGGGAAAGUAACUUUUGCCCUUUCCAUAAAAAGGAAGGGCAUCACAUUGAUGAAUGCAUGAAUUUCAUCAAAAAGUUGCAAGAAUGCUAACUCUAGGAGAGUUGAGGAUUGAGGACAUAAGUGACAAUGAAGAGGUAGAGUAGAGAUAGAGAAAUGUAGAAUCCAAUCAACAGCUAAUGGUCGCUCAAAACUGGUAUUAACUAGGCCCUCCUAUGCAAGCAAAGUAAACUAUGGAGGUGCCUGGAGAUUAUGGUUAUACCUCGAAUAUUGAAGCUCCUUUGCCGCUGUUCGAGCGGAGAUAAGUGGGCUAACUCGGAGUGGUCGUUGUUACACACCUGAAGAGCUAGAAAGACAAAGAAAGGCUAAAGGCAAGGAGGUGCUGGACCUCGAUAAAGAGUUUGAGGUGAAUAAACCUGUGACUGAGGAAGAAACAAAUGAGUUCUUGAAACUGAUGAAGCAUAGUGAGUACAGUAUAGUGGAUCAGUUGAAGAAACCCCUGCUAAGAUCUCCAUCAUGUCUUUAAUACUCAACUCGGAGCCACAUCGUAAUGCUUUGCAAAAAGUAUUGAAUGAGGCCUAUGUGCCCCAAGAUAUGAGCAAAAGACUAUGGACAUCUAGUAGGGAGGAUCCAUGCUGCCAAUUACUUGUAUUUCACGGAAGAUGAACUGAUGCUGAAGGAACUGGACAUAACAAGCCCUUGUAUGUCACGGUCCGAUGCAAGGAUUGCCUCGUCGGCAAGGUUCUCAUUGAUAACGGCUCGGCCCUGAAUGUGUUACCAAGGCAUGUGCUGGAUGAAAUGCCAAUAGAUCCCUCACAUAUGCAACCCAGUGUGAUAACGGCAAGAGCGUAUGAUGGCUCAUCAAGGCCAGUUGUAGGGUCAAUUGAUGUUGAACUAGCUGUGGGUCCACAAGUCUUUCUAGUAACCCUUCAAGUGAUGGAUAUCCACCCUUCUUAUAGCAUGCUGUUAGGAAGGCCAUGGAUACAUUCUGCGGGAGCUGUCACCUCUUCGCUACAUCAAUGUUUAAAGUACAUUGCCAACGGUGUCCUGGUUACUGUUAAGGCUGAGGAGACUAUAUCGAUGGUAAGAAAUGUGGCGGUUCCAUUCAUUGAAGCAGAAGAUUGUAGGGACGGAAACCUUCAUGCAUUUGAGAUUGUGAAUACCGAGUGGGUGCCCGAGAACACUGUGUUGAGGAAGCCAGAAAUCUCUGAAGCCACUAAAAUGGCCGCUAAAAUCUUUUUGAAAAACAAGAUUCCUUUCCCAUACGAUAUGGAGCAAAGAAGGCCUGAAUGGAGGGGUAUAAUCAAAUUGAAAGCUGCAGAACAGAGGUUUGGGCUUGGAUAUAAGCCCAAGAAAGAGGAUUACAAACGAGCUGCUGGUGCAAGAAGGGAGAAGAGAAUGGCUAGGAUUGAAGGAAGGAAGCCUGUAGAAGAAAACUUAGCCAUCCCUCCAAUCAGGAUUUCAUUUCCAAAGGCCGCAUAUGUGAUACAACCUGAUGGGGACAUGGAGACCUCUUUCAGAAGCUUUCUUCAAUGAACAUAAACACUCUGGAGGAAAAUCAAGUCAAGGACAUUGCUGAGAAAAUCGAGUCCGAAAGGAGGAUUGAAGAGAUGCCACAAUUGACCAUCCACACUUUGGAAGAAGUCACCGUCAAGACUUUUGUCCGGAAGCUAGCCGAAGGGGAAAAGUUCCAGAAUUGGGAGACCCAAGAAGCUCCAUUGGUUUUUAAAAUGUAAUCAACAAUGAUGGUUGGAUUAUAUUUUUAUCUAUGUGGUUUGUUUUUUUUAUUAUUCAUUGACAAUCGAGGCUCAAGAUGUCAAUGGGAUUUUAUUUUGUUGUGAGCCAAUCGUUUAUUUUUAAUGAGAUCAUACAUUUUUCAAAAUUCAUUUUUAUGUCUUACUAUGCAUUUACACAUCACUUUCCGCUUUCAGGAACUCUGAAAGCGGAUCCUCCACAACAACACCUGCACUUUACAUUGAGAAUGAAUGGCCAAAAUUUAAAGAAUACAUAGUGGCUGUAGAAGAUGAGGAAUGGGAGAGGAAAACAUAUGGGAAUUCACAAAAUUAAUAGAACAACACGAACAGGCUUGGAGGCCCGCUAAAGAGGAACUUGAAACCAUAAAUGUAGGCAAUGAAGAAUCAAGCGAGAGCUGAAGAUAGGGACUUUGAUCACCCCGAAGCAAAGGAAGAGUUGAUUGCACUGCUCAAGGAUUAUGUGGAUGUCUUUGCCUGGUCCUACGAGGAUAUGCCUGGUCUGGAUACGGACAUUGUAGUGCAUAGAAUACCACUGAUGGAAGGAUGCAAGCCGAUUAAGCAGAAGUUAAGGAGAACUCAUCCGGAGGUCUUAAUCAAAGUAAAGGCGGAAAUUGAAAAACAAUGGGGCUGGUUUUUUGGAAGUAGUGAAGUAUCCACAAUGGGUGUCAAACAUAGUGGUGGUACCCAAAAAGGAAGGUAAAAUCAGAGUUUGCGUGGACUUUAGGGAUUUAAACCGGGCUAGCCCUAAAGAUAAUUUCCCUUUACCACACAUAGAUAUGUUAGUUGAUAAUGCAGCACGCAGCUCCACAUAUUCCUUCAUGGAUGGGUUUUCAGGCUACAAUCAGAUAAGAAUGGCGCCAGAGGAUAGGGAGAAGAACCUUUGUAACACCAUGGGGAACCUUUUGCUACAAAGUCAUGCCAUUUGGUUUAAAGAAUGCUGGGGCCACUUACCAAAGGGCUAUGGUGACUUUGUUUCACGACAUGAUGCACAAAGAGAUUGAAGUAUACGUGGAUGACAUGGUUGCUAAAUCUAAAGAGGGAGAGAAUCAUGUCCAAGUAUUGAAGAAAUUAUUUGAAAGAUUAAGGAAAUAUAAGUUGAGGCUUAACCCAGCAAAGUGUUCAUUCGGGGUGAAAUCCGGUAAGCUGUUGGGUUUGUGGUGAGUGACAAAGGGAUAGAAGUGGAUCCUGAAAAAGUAAAAGCUAUUCAAUCUAUGCCACCCCCAAGACUGAGAAGGAGGUGAGAGGUUUCUUAGGAAGGUUGAAUUACAUCGCUCGGUUUAUAUCCCAUUUAACCGCGACUUGUGACCCGAUCUUUCAUUUGUUGAGGAAGAAGAACCCUGGAAUAUGGAAUGAAGAGUGUGAUAAAGCUUUUGAGAAAAUCAAGCAAUACUUGCUAAAUCCACCUCUGCUUGUUCCUCCGGUACCAGAAAGGCCAUUAAUUUUAUACCUAACAGUAACCGAAACAGAAAUGGGAUGCGUGCUUGGGCAACAUGAUGAAACCGGAAGGAAGGAAAGGGCCAUUUAUUACCUAAGCAAGAAGUUCACGAAAUAUGAGUCUAGGUAUACUGUGAUUGAGAAGCUGUGUUGCGCACUAGCAUGGGCUACAAAGAGAUUAUGUCAGUAUAUGUUGUAUCACACUACAUGGUUAAUUUCAUAACCGAAUUGCAUAAUGGCAAGUUCUUUUGGCUGAGUAUGACAUAGUAUAUAUGACAAGGAAAGCCGUGAAAGGGAGUGUUAUCGCUGAUCACCUGGCUGACCAUGCUAUGGAAGAUUAUGAGCCGUUAAACUUUGACUUUCCCGAUGAAGAUGUGUUUGCAAUUGAGGAAGAGAAAUCAGAUUGGUGGGUUAUGUACUUUGAUGGUGCGUACUUUGAUGGUGCUGUAAAUGUAUGUGGUAACGGAGCGGGGGCAGUGAUAAUCUCUCCUGAUAAGAAGCAGUAUCCGGUUUCAGUUAAGCUGCAAUUCGGGUGCACCAAUAACACGGCUGAGUACGAAGCUUGCAUUCUUGGUUUAGAGGCUGCAUUAGAGAUGAACAUAAAAAAGAUAGAUGUGUAUGGAGACUCAAUGCUGAUUAUUUGCCAAGUAAAAGGAGAAUGGCAAACCAAAGAAGAGAAGUUAAGGCCUUACCAAGAAUACCUGUCUAAGCUGGCUAAAGAAUUUGAGGAAAUAGAGUUCACCCAUCUGGGAAGGGAAGGGAACCAGUUUGCAGAUGCUUUGGCCACACUAGCCUCUAUUGCCAAGAUAGACUUUGGGCACAAGGUACAACCAGUACACAUCAAUAUCAGAAAUAACCCCGCUCAUUGUUGCUCAGUCGAAAGAGAAGUGGAUGGAAACCCGUGGUACUAUGAUAUCAAAAAUUUCAUCCAAAACCAGGCAUAUCCCAUGGGGGCAUCCAAAAUCGACAAGAAGACCUUGAGAAGGUUGGCAAUGGAUUUUUAUCUUGAUGGGGAAAUUUUGUAUAAGAAAUCAUUUGACGGGACUUUGUUGAGAUGUUUGGAUGAAUUUGAGGCAAAAAGUACGGUACGGGAAGUCCAUGAGGGGAAUUGCUCAACUCAUGCUAGUGGACAUGUGAUGGCCAGGAAGAUACAAAGAGCCGGGUACUUCUGGAUGACAUUAGAGAAGGAUUGUAUCGAUUAUGUCUGGAAAUGUCAUAAGUGCCAAGUAUACAGUGACAAAAUCAAUGCUCCUCCGGCUCCUCUGUUUAAUUUAACAUCUCCAUGGCCCUUCGCGAUGUGGGGAAUUGAUGUGAUCGGACCGGUAAACCCAAAAGCCAGCAAUGGUCAUAGGUUUAUUCUCGUGGCUAUCGACUACUUCACAAAAUGGGUAGAAGCUGGGUCAUUUGCUCAUGUGACGCAAAAAGUGGUGAAGAAAUUUAUUGAGAGAGAUUUGAUAUGUCGGUAUGGUCCACCAGAAAAUAUUAUAACGGAUAAUGCCCAAAAUUUCAACGGCAAGAUGAUAAUAGAGCUCUGCACUAAAUGGAAAAUCAAGCAUUCUAAUUAUUCGCCAUAUAGACCAAAGAUGAAUGGUGCGGUAGAAGCUGCUAAUAAAAAUGUCAAAAAGAUUAUUCAGAAGAUGGUAGUCACCUAUAAGGAUUGGCAUGAGAUGUUGUCAUUUGCCCUUCAUGCAUAUCGCACCGCAGUUCGAACUUCAACAGGAGCUACCCCGUACAUAUUGGUAUAUGGAAUGGAGGCGGUGAUGCCUUUAGAAGUGGAAAUCCCAUCAUUGAGAGUGUUGCUAGACUCUGGGCUGGAAGAGUUAGAAUGGGCAAAGGUUAGAUAUGAACAGUUGAAUCUGAUCAGUGAAAAGAGGAUAGCUGCGAUCUGUCAUCAUCAACUCUACCAAAGAAGGAUGGCUAAAUCAUAUGACAAGAAGGUUCGACCUCGAGGAUUCCACGAAGGAGAUCUUGUACUAAAGAAAAUAUUACCUUUACCUGGAGAAGAACAGAGUAAAUGGGCACCUAACUAUGAGGGGCCUUACGUGGUGAAGAAAGCAUUCUCAUGAGGAGCUUUGUUAUUGUCUAGAAUGGAUGGAGAAGAUCUAGUUAGGCCUGUGAAUUCCGACUCUGUAAAGAAAUACUACGCUUGAUGUAUUUCGUAAUUUCCCAGUCAAUAAAAAUAAAUUUCGGCCAUGAAAUCUAUUUGUAAAGAGUCCUUUUAUAUAUAUAUAUAUAUAACAUAUGAUCUCAUAGCAUUUGAAAUCUUUUGCUUAAAAGAACUUUUUAUGGCAUGACUAAGAAAAUGACUCCAUCAAUUGGAGAACCAAAUCAAAUCUACUUGACAUAUAGUUGCACAUCACACUAGGGGGCAAAAGGUGCACGAAGUGCAUAUAAGGGUCCAUAGUAAACCCAAGCCCAAAAGGGGUAUCAUAAUAAAAACUUCUAAAAAAGCAUCUUUUAUAAGAUUUCUUAAUUGCAUUAAGAGUUUCAGUUUUCAUGAACAAAACCAAUUUUUUCCUUUGGCACAAAACUCAAUGGAGCAAGAAAGGGCCCCAUAAGGAACCAAAGAUCUCUUCACUAAAAGGAUAUGAAGGAUAUUUCGGUUCAUGAGAAAAGCUUGAAACAAGAGCGAAGAGGUUUACGACGAAAGGGGGACCUAUGUUUCCAAGAUAGGUAACAAAAACAUACAUGCAUAUUAACCAUAAUACAUUGCUUUCAACAUUUGUCAGAUCGGGGUUUCAUCACCAUUUCUCAGGUAGUGCGUUUUCUAACCCUACCUCUUUUCGAGUGCGCUGUUGAGCCCUCACUUCUUGGGUAGUGCGUUUUCUAACCCUACCUCUUUUCGAGUGCGCUGUUUGAGCCCUCACUUCUUGGGUAGUGCGUUUUCUAACCCUACCUCUUUUCGAGUGCGCCGUUUGAGCCCUCACUUCUCGGGUAGUGCGUUUUCUAAACCCUACCUCAUUUCGAGUGCGCCUUUGAGCCCUCACCAACAUUUUUCUGGGUAGGUCACCCAUCACAAUGAGACCAUAUUUUUUCUGGGUAGGUCACCCAUAAGAAUGAGACCAUUCUCCAUUUUGUUUACCUGGGUAGGUCACCCAUAAGAAUGAGGCCAUUCCUUCCCCUGGGUAGGUCACCCAAAGAAUGAGACCACUCUUCCUUUUCCCUUGGGUAGGUCACCCAUCACAAUGAGACCAUAUUUUUUCUGGGUAGGUCACCCAUAAGAAUGAGACCAUUCUCCAUCUUUUUUUUUACCUGGGUAGGUCACCCAUAAGAAUGAGGCCAUUCCUUCCCCUGGGUAGGUCACCCAAAGAAUGAGACCACUCUUCCUUUUCCCUUGGGUAGGUCACCCAUCACAAUGAGACCAUAUUUUUUCUGGGUAGGUCACCCAUAAGAAUGAGACCAUUCUCCAUCUUUUUUUUUACCUGGGUAGGUCACCCAUAAGAAUGAGGUCAUUCCUUCCCCUGGGUAGGUCACCCAAAGAAUGAGACCACUCUUCCUUUUCCCUUGGGUAGGUCACCCAUCACAAUGAGACCAUAUUUUUUCUGGGUAGGUCACCCAUAAGAAUGAGACCAUUCUCCAUCUUUUUUACCUGGGUAGGUCACCCAUAAGAAUGAGGCCAUUCCUUCCCCUGGGUAGGUCACCCAAAGAAUGAGAUCACUCUUCCUUUUUCCUUGGGUAGGUCACCCAUCACAAUGAGACCAUAUUUUUUCUGGGUAGGUCACCCAUAAGAAUGAGACCAUUCUCCAUCUUUUUUUUUACCUGGGUAGGUCACCCAUAAGAAUGAGGCCAUUCUUCCCCCUGGGUAGGUCACCCAAAGAAUGAGACCACUCUUUCCCUUUUCCACUCGGGCAGGUCACCCAUCAUAAUGAGACCCCACACACAUUUUUUUGUAUUGGUUAUGGGUAAAGGAAUCGCCAGAUGGGAUUCCAGGUUAAAGGAGAUCACCAGAUGGGAUCUCAGAUGGAUUUCGAUGUUGAUCAAACUAAAGUAAGAAUUCAGAGGAUCGCUGGAUAAGGAUCUCGAGAUGACUAAGUUUUGAUCAUAGUUUUUGGGCUAAUGAGGAUUGUUGUAAAAGACAAAGUUUCAGAUCAAUUAAGCUUCGACCAGAUCAGUUUCGGGAGUUCCGUUUUGGGUUUAUCUUUAUAACACUUACUGCGCAAAACACAUGCUCCGUAAGUAUUAUAAAGAGGGGGCAUCUGUUGUAACCCAUUUUUGGGUCCCCAUGAAAAAUAAAAUAAAUAGCCAAAAGAAGGUAGAAAAAAUAACAGGAGGCAGAAGCACUCAGAAAACAGUCAGAAAAUUGGUCAAGGAAUUUAAAAAUACAAGGAUUGAAUUUUCGACAGUAUAUUCUUGAAGGAUGAAAGCCCUAUUGAGAAGGAAAAUUUGAAUUUUGAGGAGAAAAGCCCAAAUUUGGAUGUUUAUGGACUUAAUUGGAUUUUUAUUUGAAUUUAUAGAGGAUUUGAUUGCAAGAAAAAUUAAUUUUUAAGUCAAUUUGGGCUUUAAUUAGAGAAGAAAUUUAAGUUCUGGGGCCAAAAUAUAUUUUUUAGGAAUUUAUUGGGUCAAAUCAGGGGCUUAAUUGCAUAAAUAUUGAAGUUUAAUGGCCAAUUAAGGACUUAAUUAAGAAAAUCCGAAACCAGGGACCAAAUUGGAAGAGGCGCGUAAAUGGAGAGGGGCUGCAAUUAUUCGGUUCAGGGGCCUAAUUGAAGAAAUUGGAAGUUUAUUGAUCAAUUGAGGGCUUAAUUGCAUAAAUCAGAGGCCAAGGACCAAAGUGAAAAACGCGGCCAACCAUGGGGGCGGGGACCGAAUUUGAAGGGCUGAUUUGAAGUUUGGCUCAUUUAAAUGAAACGGCGCGUUUUAUCCAAAACGACACCGUUUCAUAUAUAUUAAAAAAAAGGACCAGAACGGUGUCGUUUUGAACGACACUGUUCAUCUUCCUCCUUCCCCCCGAAUUAGCAGCAACAGGAGACGAAAACAUUUUCAAACCUUCCCGCCUCUCUCUCCUCACCCCCACCGAAGCCCCACAAGACCGAACGGGUCACUGGCCGACCAGCCGUUGCGUGAUUGAAGGCGCACUAGCGAAAGGCACACCGGUUUCUUUUUUUCCUUAUAAAUAGAGAGAGACCGAAGGAGAGAGGGAGACCCGAAGAUAGAGGGAGAAGAGAAAUAAUGCACGAAAGAGAGAGGAGAACAGAAACAAACCGAAAAGAAGGAAACCGAAACCAAAAACAGAAAGCAAACCGAGACAGAGAAAGCCACUGAGAACAAAAAAACAGGGGAAAGGGGAGGAGGAAGAAAUUUCUUGCCACUGUUAGAAACAGCAGCAACGCUGCCCGGAGCCGCCGUCCACGAGCCACGCCACCGCAGCCCCGCCAGCAAACCACCGUCUCCGCUGCGCCGGGUACGCUCUCUCCCCUGCAUUGUUUUUUUACCUGUAGGUUUCGUCUCCUGCAUGCAGAAUCGUUCUGCAUGCAGGGGAGGGGGGGAAAAAUAAUCCCCCCCCCCCGUUCUGUCUUCUCUUCUGGGCCAGACGGGUUCUGGCCCAGAAACAUGUAUAUGGGCCAGAAGGAUUCUGGCCCAACCCGGCGGUCUGGGCCGGGUCCGGCCCAGACCAAGUUUAUACCUUUCUUGGGCCAAAAUCGGCCCAGUCACUUUUGGGCCGAUCCCGGCCCAAUAACUUGUGGGGCUGAGCCCGACCCAGUUAGUUGGGCCGACCCAGCCCCUUAAUAUAUUAAUAUAUUAUUAUAAUUAUAUUAUAUUAUUAUAUUAUAUUAUGUGUGUAUAUAUAUAUAUAUAUAUUUUUUAAAAAAAAUCUAAAAAAUCUAAAAAAAUGUUGUUGUUUUCUUUUCAUAUAUAUAUAUAUAUAUAUAUUUUAAGGGGGUUUGUAUUUUUUUUAUAUACUGUAGAGGUAUAAAUUCAGUAUUUAAAAUAUCCGAUUUUCGUCGAGACACCCAAAAUUUUCAAAGAUAAAUUUUUUUUUGCUUUCAAAAAAUUUCUAAAAUUCCUUAAAAAUAUUGUUGAUUUUUUCCGUAAAUACUAAGGGAAAAACGAGCUUUCAAAGCACAUGGAAUCUCCUUAGAUUUCUAUCUAAAAUCAAUUGACGAGCCUAGAAAAUACCAACACCAUAGCAAUUAUAGAGCAACCCAAACACCAAGCAGCUUAUCUUAGGUAGGGCGUACUAGGGGUGCUAAUACCUUCCCUUUACGCAACCAGUCCCUUGCCUUAGAGUCUCUGAAAGACCAGUUAGGGUUCCUAGUGACCAGAAUACUAGGUGGCGACUCCAAAGAACCAAAUUCAGCAAAACAGAACAAAACAAAAGUCGCUAGUCGAAUGUCGCAAUAACAAAUUUUUUUUUGUUAUUUUUUUUGUGGGGUGCAACAAGGAGAGUAGGAUAUUGUUUUUUUAAAAAAAAUUAAAAAAUACCAAACAUAUCCCAACACAUCUCAGCCAUUGAAAUAAUCCAAGAUUUGAUCCCGUUGCGCCACGUCACCCGGUGAACCGAGCUUUCGGUGCACCGCACCACACCAUAUCAAAACCUGUACUCAUCCGGAUGGUCCGAUCAACCUGCAGAUUCAGCCCAUCACAACCGUCCGAUCGUUUAAUUCGAGAUCCAACGGCGUACAGUGUUCAGCAGUACCGGUGUACCAUGCACGCGUUCACACCGUAGCUAAUCUCAGAGCAUCUCUCUCCUCUCGCCGGCGACUCUCUCUCUCUCCUCCGAUCUCCCAUCUCCGGCCGUAUCCAGCCUCCGCAACACCACAGAAAGGUCGCCAAUCUCCUGAAAACCAAAAACCCGGUGGUUUUCAUCGUUUCCUCCACCUCAUCUGGCCGGAAAAAGGCCGCGAACGUCGCUGGCCACCGAAGCUUCAAGUCGUCGAUUCUCCCUCGUCAGCCAUCAAUGGCCGUCGAGACCACCACCAUCGGAAUCCUCGACCUCAGAUCUACUAGAAUCGACCAUCGGUUUGCCAAAAAGCUCGCCGAAAAAGUUCGCCGCCUCCAACAGUAGCCGCGCGUGAGCCACACGCGCCGCCAGUGGCAUUUUCGUAAAUUUUCGAGAAAUCCGAGGAUAUUUCAGUCUUUUACCUAUACAGGGCACUCGGGUAAUUUUUUUUUAUUUCUAACAUUUUUUAUUUUGUAUAUAAAUUUUCUUGCAAGUAAAAAAAAAACAAAACAAAAACAAAAUAAAAAUAAAUAUAAAAGAAAAACAACGCGGGUCCAACACCCAUCCUAUCGUGUUAUCGUUCGUGGGUCCAAAGCCCCAAUUAUCAAAUACGGUUAUACCCAUUUCUCAAACGAUAUAAAAAUAAUUUUUAUUUUAUAAACAAAUAUUGUUCGUCGACACGUCUCUUUUCUAGAAAAGGACCGAUGUCAAAAGUUUAAAUACCAAAUAUGGAUUAUGUCCGUAUUUUUUUUGGUAACUCAGACGUAAAUCUCUUUUUUAGGGUUAAACGUCAAUAUUUUAGACAAGUCUCCUAUUUUUAGAAACUGAUGUCAUUUUUAACGUGUCUCCUAUUUUUAGGGACCGACGUUAACCAUUAAAACAAAAAUUGCAAAUAAGGUCAAAAUAUAAUAUCAUUUGAAACAAAUAAAAAAACACACAAGUAAGGGUAACCUUUCUUUUGAAAGCAUGUUUUAAGGGUGGUGUCUACCUUUCUUUAAUCAUAACUAACCCAGUACCCGAAUCUCUGGGACCAGUGUCUAAUUUGGGAUUUCUAGUUCCCUCAAAUUACUAGAUGGCGACUCCAAUGAAAUCUUUAUUUCCCAAUAAAAAAAAUCUUUUGUUAAAUAAACAAAAAUGAGUGGAGCCGUCGCCCGACGUCGUGUAUCGAUGGAAUGGCGACUCCACUGGGGACAGGGUUGAACCAACUGCUUGUGUGUGCUUUUCAUUUGUUUUUUUAUUGCUAUUUAUUUUUUGAGCAUUUAUUUUCUUUGCACUAUUUAUUUUAUGCAAUAUCAAUUGUAAAUCAUUUCAAUUUUUUUAGAUUUGCACAUGCAUGCAUAUUAUUUAUUUGUGUAUUCACACACUCCACGGUGAACCCAUAAAUGCUCUGGACCUGAGCUCGUCCUUUUUAAGAUUAGAAAAGAAAGAUUCAGGUGGCAAGUGUGACUUAUGUCCACUGAUGCUCAUCUGGACUUUCGCUUGGAUUGUAACUCACCCUAUGCAACGGGUAUUGUGGAAUUUUCUUCCCAUACUCAUGUUGUAUAAGGUUAAGAGGCCGACUACCCCAUGGGUAAUUCGGGCAAUCUAAGAACCAAAAAAAUAUCUUUAGGGAUAGACUAAACUGAGUCAAAUCUUAUGAGCUAGAUCCUAUCAAUUAAGGAUAUACCUUUUAGGACACAAACAAAUGUCAAUGCAUUAACAUACAUGUUCAUAUACAUUUCAUAUUCUCAUUAAAUCUUCACCGAUCCUCAUAGGAAGUGUGAGAUUAAAAAAACCAUUACUAUUGAGGAAUUUUUGACCAGAUCAGAUUUGAACCAACAUGAUGAAGGGGAUUGUUUGCCAUCAGAACAUGACAUCAAAUUUCUCCCCUAAAUCGGUUCAAGUCCCUGUAGGUUUGGAGUCCUCAGUGAGAACUUUUUUUAAGAGAAUCUAAUCUGGUCUGUUCCUCGUCAUAAUUUAAAAAAAAAAAAAACAAUUUUGAAACCAAUAACAAUCAUGCAUACACCAUAUGACUUUUUGCAUCCAUUUAUGCAUUUCAUUUAGUUUACUUGCAUUCAUUCAGGGGUGAAAUAUAGGUCCCCCAAAAGGCUGUAAAAUUCAUUACACUCGACUACGAAGAAAGAUAAUGGAGAACGAAGAAAGGGCCCACCUAGAGGCUCAUUAUCAAAGAGAGUUAGAGAGCAUGAAAAACGAUAUAGCACGACUUACAAGUCUACUCGAGCAGGCCCUAGUAUCCAAGUCUGGUAAAGAUACCUUUACUCAGUCGGCAGUUGCAACUCCAUCUGUAUCUAUGCCAGCAGCUCCUUUUGUAUUCACGUCUCAAAAUUUAGGAGCUAAUCCCUCUUCAUUUGAACAACAGUUCACUACCACUGUUCCACAAGCACAAGUGCCAGUUACUGUAAACCUUGCAAUUGAUGACCCACAAAGGAUGAAAUUCUCUAAAAAAGUCGAUUAUGAUAAAUUGACCGCUCUAGAAGCAAGAUUGAAGGUAGUUGAAGGGGCAGACUUAUAUGAUCUUGUUCAUGCUGCAGAAAUGUGUUUCAUUCUCUAAAUUGAUCUUGUUCAUUUCUUUCAAGACAGUCUUUCUGGAUCGGCACUAAGCUGGUAUACAAGGCUAGACAAUACUAAGAUCAGAAAUACUAAGAUCAGAAAGUGGAAAGAUUUGGUAAAAGUCUUUGUUGAACAGUAUAAAUUCAAUAUGGAGGUAGCCCCGGACAGGUCAAGCUUGUUAGUCAUGGAGAAGGGCAACAAAGAGACUGUAAGAGAACAUGCUUUGAGAUGGCGUGAAAAAGCAUCUCACAUGCAACCCUCUUUGUUAGAAAAAGAAAUGGUCACUCUAUUUUCUAACACUUUUAAAUCUCCAUACUUUGAACACCUGGUGGGUAGUUCAGCUCAGCAUUUCUAUGAUGUUGUAACUAUCGCUGAGAGAAUAGAACAAGCGAUAAGAACAGGGAGAAUUUCCCUUGGGGGGCAUCUAAAGCAGAUAUGAAGACCUUGACAAGGCUAGCCAUGGAAUUUUACCUGGAUGGAGAAAUUCUAUGUAAAAGAUCAUUCAAUGGCACUGUACUAAGAUGUCUAGAUGAAAUCGCAGCUAAGGUAGCAUUGCAAGAAAUUCAUGAAGGAAUUUGUGCAACUCAUGCAAGGGGGCAUAUGAUGGCUAGACAAAUGCAACGAUCUAGGUACUUCUGGAUGACCAUGGAGAAAGAUUACAUCGAUUAUGUCAGAAAACGCCAUAAAUGUCAAGUGUACAGUGAUAAGAUAAAUGCACCUCCAUCUCCUCUGUUUAAUAUGACAUCAUUGUGGCCAUUUGCAAUGUGGGAAUAGAUGUGAUUGGGCCAAUCAACCCAAAGGCCAGCAAUAGGCAUCAAUUUAUUUUAGUAUAUGAUUACUUCACAAGUGGGUGAAAGCCCAUAUGUAGUGAAGAAAGCAUUCUCCGGAGAGGCUCUGUUGUUAACUAGGAUGGAUGGAGAUGAUUUACCUAGGCCUGUGAACUCUGAUUCUGUGAAAAAGUAUUAUGUAUGAUGUGUUUCAUCCAAUCAAAUCAAUGAAGUUUUGGCCAGGAAAUUCCCUUUGCAUAUACCUCACUAAAAAGCUCAUGCAUGAUCUCAAUUGCUCAACAAUUUGAUCUUUCAAACUUUUUUUUUACAGGAGAAUCCAUUCUUCUUAAAUGAGGUUUUAAAAGAACUGAUUUUGUUUGUGAUUUCAAUGAAAUAAAUCAAUGAUUUGUUUGGAAUAAUGUUCAGAGCAAUUCCCUUGAAAGAGAUGACCAAACAAGUCAAAAAAACAUGCAAUUGGAACAUCACCCAAAUUAUGUCUUGGAUCCACAUUUUAUCAGCAUGAAUAACGGUUGGUAGUACAUUAGUUUGUCAUGGACUCGCAAAACAUGGUAUCUUACAAAUCCAAAGCAUUACGUUGGAUAUGGACAAAGUUUAUUGGUUUUAACUGAUCUUACUUGAAAUGAGGAAAGGCUAUCUUUGAUAUUCCUUUCACUUUCUUUAAAAUUAUCCUUUGCAGUCCCAAUUUGAGCUGAGUCUAUUUAAAGCCUUUUCUUUCAUGACAACGUUAACUAAGAUCACACCUACACUAGGGGGCAAAAAGAGAAAUAUGAUUAAGGAAAUUGUCUUGAAGGCAUGUGAGCUUAUAAAGAAAGUCUGACAACAAAGAAUUCAAUUAAAUUCCAAACAAUUGAGAGAAUUCCUAACAAAUAUGGGAAUAAAAACAAGAAAACAGAAGUUCCUCAUUUGGAAUAUUUAGCAUCAUUUUUAUUGUCAAGGUAGCAAAAGAAAAUGCUAAGACAAGAUAAUAGUGAUCUAUAGUUUAUAAGCCCUUAAACACUUUUUUGAGCUUAUGGAAUACUCUUUCUUUUAUAGCCUUGAGCCAUAAAACACAUUACGUGCCUUUGAAGUCCUUUCUAAUCAAGUAAGCGACCUGGAUCAAUAAACGGCGUUCUCAAAAUAUAAGAGACUUUUCAUAAAGAGUCAUGGCAUAGCAAAUAAUUACUCGUUAUUAUUCAUGCUGUUAAAAAGAGUGUUUCUAAAGAUAAAGGCAAAUUGUUUCUUUUUCUCAAAAUACCUUCAAGAAUCGCUUGAACACUUUGAAAACCAAAGCAGAAGGUCAUCUCAUCACUUACCUUCAUCUUAGAUUACUUUUACUAAGAGAUUUGACAUAAAGCCCAGAGUUGCCUGAACAUUGUUAUAAACAAACAUUGAGAGUUUCAGUUUUCGAGAAUAUAACAGAUCUUUUGAAAAAUCAUUUUUGAAAAAAGGUUUUCUUUGUAAGAAAAAUGAAUAUCUGGCACACUACGAGGCACCAUUAGAAAAUCAGAGAUUCUAAUGACAACAAGAGCAAAGGAGGAAAUGAAUUGAGGCAGUUAAUUCUCCCAGGGGGCAGAGAAGCAGUUACUAGAUCCUUAAUGGCACAAAGAAAUUUGCUUCCCUAGUGGAAAAUACACAUGAUAAAACUGUGGACUUCUUCCAGCAUGAGGGCUGAAAUAGUAUGAUUUACAGUGUCCAUGAAAGGAGAUUGUUGACACUCACAAUAUGAUCAGUUAGACAACAAGAUAACUGAUACAUCUUCAGUAAGAGGAAUGCAGAUGAAAUCCUAGGUGAAGCGGGAUAAUCCUCUUACAUUGACCAUAUGAAUUGGUUAAAGAAUCUUCAAUAAUGGGAAUGUUGCCUAUAGAACAAUGUCGAGCCAGGGAGAAGUUAAUUUUCUCAGUGAAGGUACGAAUAGAGAAAAGUGCAGUGACUGUUGGGAAACUUAAACAAAGCGUAUCUUAGAAGAAUGAACAACAAGGGUCGGCUUGAGUAGACUUGAAGUACGUGUAAAUCAAAAGAGCUCACUCAAAGUCAAGACCCUCAAACACAAUGAUGGGGAUCUAUAUUUCAAAACAGGUAAGAUGCAUUGCAUAUCAUCUAACUUCAAGCAUUGCAUAUUUGUUUUGCAGAUAUCUCACGAAACAAAACUCCUCACGGGAUCCAACGAGAAAUGAAGUUCUUUUAAAUCACAUCAAAUAUGGCAAUUCCACAAAGGCAAAAUUCAUGAAUGAAGACGAGAAGAUGGAUUUUUAUUCAUAGGCAUAAUGGUUUACAAGUAAACGUUAAACACUGCGAGGACGAUUAGGGAUAUUUUCAUUUCGAUGAUGCCAUCAUACUCGAAAUUCCUCAAAUUGUUAUUAUGCGCUCCAUCUGUUCCUCGAACUCGAGGUGUCGUGUGUUAACAUAGUCCCUCCAAAAGUCAACACGUGUUGAGCUCUUGGUUUCUCCUCUCCAAGUCGUUUCUGUGACGUCUCUCAUCACGGAGUCUUUUCCUUAAAUUCUCAAUCUGACGAUGGAGCUCAGGAAUUUGAGUAUUCAACUCAAGUCUUUUAGCAUGAAGACGCUCCGCAAGAUUCACCAAAGACGAAGUAGCUCUGAUACUAAGAGCAAGUGACUGAUUCACUGCUUCAAUAUCAGUCCUGGCUGCCAACAUUAUUUCAUCACGAGGAAGGAUCAUGUCUCUAGCCACGGCUAUAGUAGUAUCUUCAUUGUCCAUUACAGUAUCCUCUAUUGUAACUGACGACCAUUCGCUUCAAAAGUAGUAUGCCAAACUACAGGCUCUACCUCAGGAACAAGGUUUGCAUUAGCAUUGGAAGAAGAGGAAGACAUAAUUAAAACUUCAAAAGUUGAAAACUUUAAGAGUAUUGAAAAUGUGAGAAGUUGAUGAUGCUUUUUGCCCAAUGCUGCAUGAUUUAUAGGGAAUUUGCUCAUGUCAUCAUUUUGAAUAGAAGCUCAGAUCUCAACUGUACAUAUAAGAUUUUCUUGAGCGUCGUCUUUGAGAUUGAUUUGCAAAUCAGAUCUCAACUGUACAUGUAAGACUUUCUUGAGUGUUAUCUUUGAGAUUGAUUUGCAAAUCAGAUCUCAGUUGUACAUAUACGACUUUCGUGAGAAGCUUACAUCAUCUUUGAGAUCGAUUUACAAAUCAAAUCUCAACCGUACAGGUAUGACUUCCUUUAGAAGUUUUCAUCAACCCUGAAGCUCAUUCACUUUCAAGCAUUUUAUCAUCGGGUAGGUCAGCUGGAACAAAUAGACCACUUGCGAGUUUCGUCGCAUUUUAUCAUCGGGCAGGUCGCCUAGAACAAUUAGACCACUUGCGAGUUUCCUCGCAUUUUUUUUUCUUUCAUCGGGCAGGUCGCCUGGAACAAUUAGACCACUUGCGAUUUUCAUCGCAUUUUAUCAUCAGGCAGGUCGCCUGGAAUAAUUAGACCACUUGCGAGUUUCCUUGCAUUUUAUCAUCGGGCAGGUCGCCUGGAACAAUUAGACCACUUGCGAUUUUCCUCGCAUUUCAUCAAUCGGGCAGGUCACCUGGAACAAUUAGACCACUUGCGAGUUCCCUCGCAUUUUAUCAUCGGGCAGGUCGCUUGGAACAAUUAGACCACUUGCGAGUUUCGUCACAUUUAAUCAUCGGGCAGGUCGCCUGGAACAAUUAGACCACUUGCAAGUUUCCUCGUAUUUUUUUCUUAAUCGGGCAGGUCGCCUGGAACAAUUAGACCACUUGCGAUUUUCAUCGCAUUUUAUCAUCGGGCAGGUCGCCUGGAACAAUUAGACCACCUGCGAGUUUCCUCGCUUUAUUUUUUUAUCGGGCAGGUCGCCUGGAAUGAUUAGACCACUGCGAUUUUCCUCGCAUUUCAUCAAUCGGGCAGGUCGCCUGGAACAAUUAGACCACUUGCAAGUUCCCUCGCAUUUUAUCAUCGGGCAGGUCGCCUGGAACAAUUAGACCACUUGCGAGUUUCCUCGCAUUUUUUUUUCUUUCAUCGAGCAGGUCGCCUGGAACAAUUAGACCACUUGCGAUUUUCAUCGCAUUUUAUCAUCGGGCAGGUCGCCUGGAAUAAUUAGACCACUUGCGAGUUUCCUCGCAUUUGUUUUUCAUCGGGCAGGUCGCCUGGAACAAUUAGACCACUUGCGAUUUUCAUCGCAUUUUAUCAUCGGGCAGGUCGCCUGGAACAAUUAGACCACUUGCGAAUUUCCUUGCAUUUUAUCAUCGGGCAGGUCGCCUGGAACAAUUAGACCACUCACAAAAUUCUUUGCUUCCUUCUUCACUAUCGGGCAGGUUGCCUGGAACAUGUUGAAAUCACUUUCAUGUAUUUCACAAAAUCAAUAUUGAAAACACUUUCAUGUUUUUCACUUGGGCAAGUCGCUCAUAAGAAUUAGACCAACUGAAAAUCUGUAUAUUUUUCGAUACCACCAUCGUUUUUUUUCUUUACAAAACUUACUAUGCAAAGUCAAAAGAAAAUGAAUUUUCCAUUGUAAAGAGGGGGCAACUGUUGUAACCCAAUUUUGGAUUCACAAAGAUUUUCUUGAAUGUUAUUUUAUUUCUAUUAUUAUUUAUGAAAAUCCAAAAAAAUUAAGAAAAACAUUAAAAUUCAAAAAUAUAUUUUUCUCGAGUCAACCGCAUCUUUCCAUCAAAACCAAGUCCAUCGGGUCAAACCAUGUCGACCAGGGUAAAAAAUGAGUUUCGGGCUGUUUCGGGUCAAAACCGUCAUUUCCAACCAAAACCGAGUUCACCGGGUCAUUACGGGUCAAACCAUGUUGACCAGGGCAAAAAAUGAGUUUCGGGCUGUUUCGGGUCAAAACCAUCAUUUCUGACCAAAACCGAGUUCACCGGGUCAAUACGGGUCAAACUAUGUCGACCAGGGUAAAAAAUGAGUUUCGGGUCAAAAUCGUCAUUUUCGACCAAAACCCGGUUCACCGGGUCGAUACCCAUCAAAUGUUUUUUUGGUAUUCCAUUUUUUUUUUGCGGUUGAAACGGGCUUUUUCUAAUACUGAUUUGAAUUUUUAAUUUUACCUGUAUAAAUAUUUAUUAUUAUAUAUAAUAAAACAAAAAAAUCAAUAAUACAGAAAAAAUUUUCAACGGAGCAGAGCGGAGCAGCUGGGAGCAGUUGUGUUAAUAUGUUUUUAUUAAUUUAAAGAAGAUGUUCGUUGUCCCCUCGUAAUUGGCUAUAAAUAGCCACGAGCAGAGGGAAAUGAAAAAAAAAGCAGAAAAGAAGAGAAAGAAUUGAUGUUACCAUUCCUAUUUUUUUUAGUUUUUCAUCAGGAGAGAAGGAUAUUGUUUUUUUAAAAAAAAAAUUAAAAAAUACCAAACAUAUCCCAACACAUCUCAGCCGUUGAAAUAAUCCAAGAUUUGAUCCCGUUGCGCCACGUCACCCGGUGAACCGAGCUUUCGGUGCACCGCACCACACCAGAUCAAAACCUUUACUCAUUCGGACCGUCCGAUCAACCUGCAGAUCCAGUCAAUCACAACCGUCCGAUCGUUUAAUCCGAGAUCCAACGGCGUACAGUGUUCAGCAGUACCGGUGUACCAUGCACGUGUUCACACCGUAGCUAAUCUCAAAGCAUCUCUCUCCUCUCGCCGGCGACUCUCUCUCUCUCCUCCGAUCUCCCAUCUCCGGCCGUAUCCAGCCUCCACAACACCACAGAAAGGUCGCCAAUCUCCUGAAAACCAAAAACCCGGUGGUUUUCAUCGUUUCCUCCACCUCAUCUGGUCGGAAAAAGGCCGCGAACGUCGCUGGCCACCGAAGCUUCAAGUCGUCGAGACCACCACCGGUGGAUUCUCCCUCCUCAGCCAUCAAUGCCCGUCGAGACCACCACCAUCGGAAUCCUCGACCUCAGAUCUACCAGAAUCGACCAUCGGUUUGCCAGAAAGCUCGCCGAAAAAGUUCGCCGCCUCCAACAGUAGCCGCGCGUGAGCCACACGCGCCGCUAGUGGCAUUUUCGUAAAUUUUCGAGAAAUCCGAGGGUAUUUCAGUCUUUUACCUAUACAGGGCACUCGGGUAGUUUUUUUUUAUUUCUAACAUUUUUUAUUUUGUAUAUAAAUUUUCUUGCAAGUAAAAAAAAACAAAACAAAAUAAAAAUAAAAAUAAAAAUAAAUAUAAAAGAAAAACAACACGGGUCCAACACCCAUCCUAUCGUGUUAUCGUUCGUGGGUCCAAAGCCCCAAUUAUCAAAUACGGUUAUACCCAUUUCUCAAACGAUAUAAAAAUAAUUUUUAUUUUAUAAAAAAAUAUUGUUCGUCGACACGUCUCUUUUUUAGAAAAGGACCGAUGUCAAAAGUUAAAAUACCAAAUAUGGAUUAUGUUCGUAUUUUUUUUGGUAACUCAGACGUAAAUCUCUUUUUUAGGGUUAAACGUCAAUAUUUUAGACAAGUCUCCUAUUUUUAGAGACUGAUGUCAUUUUUAACGUGUCUCCUAUUUUUAGAGACCGACGUUAACCAUUAAAAAAAAAUUGCAAAUAAGGUCAAAAUAUAAUAUCAUUUGAAACAAAUAAAAAAACACACAAGUAAGGGUAACCUUUCUUUUGAAAGCAUGUUUUAAGGGUGGUGUCUACCUUUCUUUAAUCAUAACUAACCCAGUACCCGAAUCUCUGGGACCAGUGUCUAAUUUGGGAUUUCUAGUUCCCUCAAAUUACUAGAUGGCGACUUCAAUGAAAUCUUUAUUUCCCAAUAAAAAAAAAUAUUUUGUUAAAUAAACAAAAAUGAGUGGAGCCGUCGCCCGACGUCGUGUAUCGACAAGCAACAUCAAGCAAGUAUAAUUAAUAUACUCGUUUUCCUAUGAUUCCUCCAAGUAAUGGGAUCCAAUAUAUAAUAUGAUGUUUUUGAAAAAAAAAUAAUUUUUUUAUUUUUUAAAUUAAUAUUUUUUGUAUAUUUUCAUAUUAUUUUGAUGCACUGAUAUCAAAAAUAAUUUUUUUUUAAAAAAAAUAAAUUAUGAUUUUGAUACAUUUCCGAGUAAAAAAUAUUUUAAAAGGCAAUUAUAAUCACACUCCCAAACACCCUUUUUAUCUUCUAAGAAUUGCUAGCAAAUAAUUAAUAAUCUCAUAAACAAUAAUAACAACAAAUAAUUAACAAUAUUAAGUCCGCCUGCUUUACAUAAAUAAAACAUUACUUCAAUUCAUUUUUGUCAUGGAUGGAUAAGAGACAUGCAAUUGUCACUUGGGGUUUGAUUUAGAGAGAAAAACAAAAGGCCUCAUUGCACAUGAAUAAACAUUAUACUUUUGAACUUACUUUUAUGUGGGAAAUUGUCAGAUUGUAGCUUGAAAGAGUGUCACAUUGACACAGCAUCCAGAAAGGUAAGGUCACCAUGGAAAGGGACAAAGCUCCAAUUACUUUGCCACCUUCCUCGUUCUCGUGUGCUAAACUUUUCUUCUUCUUUUUCUUUUUUGGCGUUGGAUUCAUAAAGGAAAGAUUCAAACUCAGAAAUUAUAGCCCAAUAAUCUUGGUCCAAGAUUAGCUUUACGAGCUUGUUUGACAGUGUAAUUAUAGUUAUUUUUUAAAUAAUUUUUCAUAUUAAAAUACAUGUCAAUGAUGUUUUGUUAUUUUUUAAAAAAUUAUUUUUGAUAUCAUCACAUCAAAAUGGUUUGAAAACACUAAAAAUAUAUUAAUUUAAAAUUAAUAAAAAAUUUAAAAUUUUUUCAAAAACACUUUUCAAAUAUAGAAACAAAUAUUGCAUUUAGCUCAUGAUGGAAAGACUCAUAGGUACUACUCUUACAAGUGCAACACAAAGGGAUAGAAACGUAUUUGGUUGAAAAAACAGAGAUAAAAAUAUAAAAUUUCUUUAUAUUACAUUUAGAUUUGAUAUUUGUUCUCUUUCACUCUAAAUCGUGUUUAAAAAUAUUAUAGUUGUUAUUUUUUAAAAUGAUUUUUACUCGGAAAUGUAUUAAAAUAAUAUUUUUAUAUUUUUUAAAAAUUAUUUUUGAUAUUAAUACAUUAAAAUAAUAAAAAAAUUAUAAUUUUUUUUAAUUUUACUCAAGCUCUAGCUUUUGUUAAUUGAUAUUAAAAGAAUGGGCAUCAAUGUAAUAAAUCCCAAUGAAUAGAAUCAUGCGCAAAUGACACCCUUUUAAGGUGCAUCCCCUCACAAUUUUGCAUGCGCAAAAAGUCUUAGACCAAAAAUUCCACAUGAAAAGAAGCAUUGUAUCAUUGUCACUCACAUAGACAACUUUUCUUUCUUUCUUUUUCGUUGUCCUGAUCAAGGUUGUUAAAAUCGUGAUUUUAACACGAAACGGAAAGCCGUUCACAAACUCGGAUCGUAAAAACGGAUCGUAAAAUCGUAAAAAAAUCGUAAGGAAUUUUAAAAUACAUUAAAAAAAAUUCAUGUUUCAAAUAAAAAUUCAUACAUAGUUCAAGCACCUUAAAAAACAUGUUUUAAAUAAAACUUCAUACAUAUUUCAAGCCUUCAAAUAAAAAUUCAUAUAUAGUUCAAGCAUCUUAAAAUACAUGAUUCAAAUAAAAAUCAUACAUAAUUUAAAAUAACUUUUCAUUAACUAAAAAUCAACAAACUUAAAACAAACAAUCUGCUGAUGUGUCAUAUAAACUAAAACCAGCUUCAUUCCAUUUAUCUUUAUCAUCAUUCCUUUCAUCUUCAUUACUAUUUUUUCUUCGUGUACCAAGAACAAUUUGGCACUAUUCUUGAAUAAAUGAUGCAUGACCAAUGGGGCUGUAGUGCACCCAGUUAAAGUUAAUUAUUCUAUUCAAAGAAAGAAGAGGAAGUCACUCUCACGCGUGACUGUGCAUUUCCAUAGCUAAUACUAUUAUAUAUGUAUAAUAUAAUAGGUGCCUGACAGCUGGACCAGGGAGUGAAAAUUUGUUUCAGUGCAUCUUAUUUUGGCACAAUCGUAAAAUCGGUCUUGAAAUCGUGAUUUUGCAUGAUUUUAUCCGAUUUUUGCGAUUUCACCCCGAUUCAACCCGAUUUCAUCCAUUUUUGAUUUUUUCAAGCGAUUCAACACGUAAAGUAUGUUUUGACUCGUAAAAUCACAUAAUUUUACAAGUCAAAACGCGAUUUUAACAAUCUUGGUCCUGGUCCUAUGUUAUAGUUUUAUAAUAUGAUCAAUUGAUUUAAUAUUUUCCCCUCCACCUUGGACCAUCUCAUUCAUAGUUGUACUUUAAAUAUAAAUAUAUUGUGACACACAAGAAAUGGAAAUAAUGUUACACAUGUAGUGGCAUAGUGGCAACAUGGUCUAAUCUAUUACGAGUCUUGUUUGUAAAAUAUUAUUAGAUUAUUUUUUUAAAAAAACAUUAUUGUGAAAUGUAAUAAAAUAAUAUUUUUUAAGAUUUUUAAUAUAAGCACAUCAAAACAAUAAAAAAAAUACUAAAAAAUAUUAAUUUAAAACUUAAAAAACUAAAAAACUUUUAAAAUCACCAUCUAACCGUGUAAACAAACACACUUUGCAUGUAGAUGUCAAGGAGUUGGUUGUCUUACUCCUAGGUGAGGCUGGAAUUAGUAAUAGUAGUACUAACUAUUUGACCCGCGCUUCACCAAUGGUCAAUUUUUUUUUAUUUUUUUUAAAAAUAUAUAUAUGCAAACUUUUUACGGCAUGUUUUUGUACAUAAAGAAAUCUCAAGCGAAAUUUAAAAAAUUCAUGCAUGCAUAUAAUUAAAUAAAUUGAGAAUUAUUUAUGCAAAAACAAAUAAAUUAUCAAGUUCAAUUCCUAUCCAGUCAAGGUAAACCAACCAAACUCAUGACCUAGGUCACAAACUUAUCAGGGUUCAACAAUCUUUUUAUAAUAUUUGAUCUAAAAUAUACACCUAUAAAAUUAAAAAUUUGCAAAAUACCAAAGCGAUUGAAAAAAAAAAUCAAACUUAAAUAAAUUAUAUUACCCAAUUAAUAACCAACCAAAUAUUAGGUAAUGAAAUUGAACAAAAUAUAAGCAACAAAAAAAGACAAAAACACUUAAAAAUGUUUGUUUUUUUAGGUAACUUCUUACUUAUGGUUUUUAUUUUAAAAAAUAAGUUUUUGAAAAAUAUACUUACGUGUGGUUGUUGGAUUUAGAUAUAUAUUCGAUAAAAAUUAUGAUUGAAGUUUAUGCGUAAUAAAAUACAUAUAUAUAAAAUAUUUGAUAGAAGUGUGGUAGCGGUUGCUUUUUACUUGGAAAUGCAUUAAGAUAAAAUUUUUUUAUUUUUUAAAAAAUUAUUUUUGAUAUUAAUGUAUCAAAAUUAUCUAAAAAUAUUAAAAUAUAUUAAUUUGAAUAAAAAAACAUUUAAUUUUUUUCAAAAACAUUUUUGAAACGCAAAAACAAACAGGAUUUACGAAAUUCCGUUAAGAAAACAUGUAAAAACUAAAAACUACUAUAUAAAAACUGUGUUUUAAAUUUAUUUUUUUAAUAAAUUCUAUAAUAUAAAACACAAUUUAAUUUAUUAUCAAAUACCUUAUAUUACAUUAUGUAAGUAAAAACAAAUAAAGCCUAAAGCGAAAGGAAAAACAUAAUUUGCAUCGUCUGAGGGCCUCUUUUCCCCUGUCGAGGUUUCAAUUUCAUGGCCCCUUUACGUUUUCCACUAGAAAGCGAUGGGCAAGAAGAUUCAACACGUGUACAGAGUUUUAUAGGACCAAAAUCCCAGGAACAGAGGUUGGCGGCUGGUUUUUUUUCUUCUUUGAAAUGUCGGCUGCUUAGCUAGGGUUUGCCUGCUCCAACUAUGAAAUUAUGUGUCGGUGGCUUGAUGCUACUUGCUUAUCACUUUUUGUUUCCAGUAGGAAUGGGGAGAUCCUAUGAAGGAGGUGUUCUACCACUACAUGAAGUCAUAUUCUCCUGUUGAUAAUGGAAGUAUUCAGCUGAGGGUGUGUUUGUUUAUUCUUAGUUUAUAUGUGUUACGGUGUAAAAAAUGAAGUUAGAUAUUUGAUAAUAUAUUAAACUAUGUUUUAUUAUGUAAGAUCUAUUAAAAAAUUGAAUUUAAAACGUGGUUUUUAUAAAGCAGUUUAUACAUGUUUUUUAAAUUGAGUUUCAUAAAAUUCUUUUAGUUUUUGCAUUUCAAAAGCAUUUUUUUUCAAAAUUUGAAAAAAAAAUUAUUUUUUUAUAUAUUUUCAAAUCAUUUUGAUAUGAUGAUAUCAAAAAUAAUUUAUAAAAAAUAAAAAAAUAUAUAUAUUUUAAUACAGUUCAAAGUAAAAAACACUUUUGAAAAGAAAUAACAACCAAACAUUUUAUACAUAUUUUUUACUGCAUAUAAACCUCAACUAUAAUUUUUACCAAAUUCAUAUCUAAAUCCAAAUAACCUCAUCCAACCAUACGUUUCUAAAAUUUAAUUUUUAGAAAUUAUAAACACAAAAACUAUCUCAAAAAUAAAUACACCAUCAGUUUCUCAGGUUCAUGAUCAAUAGCUUGGAAUCGUUUCCUCCUGUCGGCAUGGUAUUUGGUAUAGUUUAAAAGUGAUACCAAAUAACAUGCCGACAAAAGCGUCCGUGGAAUUUUCUUAGCAACAUGACAGUAGUGGUUCGUGGAAGAUGCUGCCAACAGCCAUCAAUCAAUUAGGGAGGAAGGGACCCUCAUGCAACUAUGCUCCGUUUCAUCUUUUAUAAUAUUUCACACCAUGCUUCUCUCUCUCUUGUGCUCAAAAUUUCUUCUUUGAUUACCCCCCCCCAAAAAAAAAAAAAAAACAAACAAACAGAGACGGAGAAUAUGGCAGCAGAGCUUCUUCUUACGUUUGCCUUGGAGGAGACUUUGAAAAGGGUGAGCUCCAUUGCUGCUGAAGGGAUCGGACUUGCUUGGGGAUUGGAGGGCCAGCUGCGAAAGCUCAACCAGUCCUUGACCAUGAUCAAAGAUGUGCUCCAAGACGCAGCCAGAAGGGCAGUAACAGACGAGUCUGUGAAGCGUUGGCUGCAGAACCUACAGGAUGUAGCUUACGAUGCUGAAGAUGUUCUGGACGAGUUUGCUUAUGAGAUUCUCCGAAAAGACCAAAAGAAGGGAAAGGUACGUGAUUGGUUUUCACUCCACAAUCCUGUUGCAUUCCGUUUGAUUAUGGGUCAAAAAGUUGAGAAGAUCAAUAGAGCCCUGGAUGAAAUCCGGAAAGAUGCAGCCGGAUUUGGGCUUGGAUUGACAUCUCUACCUGUAGAUAGAGCUCAAGAAGUUAGCUGGGACCCAGAUCGAGAGACACAUUCGUUCCUUGACAGCUCAGAAGUUGUAGGAAGGGAGGAUGAUGUCUCUAAAGUUAUGGAAUUGCUGACUAGCUUGACCAAACACCAACAUGUCCUUCCGGUUGUCCCUAUAGUGGGGAUGGCUGGCCUUGGAAAGACUACUAUAGCAAAAAAAGUUUGUGAAGUACUGCGGGAGAGAAAACACUUUGAUUUAACAAUCUGGGUCUGUGUUUCUAAUGAUUUUAGUAAAGGGAGGAUUUUAGGAGAGAUGUUGCAAAAUGUUGAUGAAACUACAAGUAGGUUGAGCAACCUAAAUGCAAUUAUGGAAAACCUUAAGAAAAAGCUGGAAAAGAGGACAUUUUUUCUUGUUCUUGAUGAUGUGUGGAAUGAAGACCGUGAUAAGUGGGAUGAUUUGAAGGAGCAACUGUUAAAAAUUAACAGCAUGAAUGGGAAUGGUGUUGUUGUUACAACCCGCAAAAAGCAAGUCGCAGACAUGAUGGAGACUUCUCCUGGUAUUCAGCACGAGCCAGGAAAACUAACAGAUAAUGAAUGUUGGUCCAUUAUUAAGCAAAAGGUGAGUGGGGGUGGACGAGAAACAAUAGCUUCAGACUUGGAGUCUAUUGGAACAGAGAUUGCAAAGAAAUGUGGAGGGCUUCCGUUGCUUGCUAAUGUUUUGGGAGGAACUCUUCACGGAAAGCAGGCAGAUGUGUGGCAGUCAAUUCUAAAGAGUAGAAAUUGGGAUUCUCGGGAUGUAGAUAAAAAAGCUUUGCGCAUAUUGAGAUUAAGUUUUGAUUACCUGUCAUCGCCUACACUGAAAAAAUGUUUUGCAUACUGUUCCAUUUUCCCUAAAGAUUUUGAAAUUGAAAGGGAAGAGCUGGUUCAACUUUGGAUGGCUGAAGGUUUUCUCAGGCCAUCAAAUGGGAGGAUGGAAGACGAAGGCAACAAGUGUUUCAAUGACUUGCUUGCAAAUUCCUUUUUCCAAGAUGUUAAAAGGAAUGAGUGUGAGAUCGUAACAAGUUGCAAGAUGCAUGAUCUAGUGCAUGAUCUUGCAUUACAGGUCUCAAAAUCAGAAGCGUUAAAUCUGGAAGAGGGUUCGGCUGUUGAUGGUGCAUCUCAUAUUCGUCAUCUAAAUCUCGUAUCUCGUGGGGAUGACGAGGCAGCAUUAACAGCGGUUGAUGCUAAAAAAUUGCGAACUGUUUUCUCAAUGGUUGAUGUACUCAACGGGCCUUGGAAAUUCAAAAGCUUGAGAACUCUCAAAUUGCGAGGGUCUGAUAUCACAGAGUUACCAGAUUCAAUUUGCAAGCUGAGACAUUUGAGAUAUCUUGAUGUCUCACGUACCAGUAUCAAAGCAUUACCAGAAUCCAUCACAGAGCUCUACCAUUUGGAAACAUUAAGAUUCACUGAUUGUUACUCAAUGCAAAAGCUUCCCAAGAAAAUGAGGAAUUUAGUGAGCUUGAUACAUCUUCAUUUUGAUGAUCCAAAGCUAGUACCAGAUGAGGUGAGACUCUUAACACACCUUCAAACUCUGCCUUUAUUUGCUGUGGGUCCAGAUCAUAUGGUUGAAGAGCUGGGAUGUUUGAAAGAACUAAGAGGAGCAUUGAAGAUAUGCAAGCUUGAGCAAGUGAGAGACAGAGAAGAAGCUGAGAAGGCAGAACUGAGUGGAAAAAGAAUGAACAAAUUGGUGUUUCAAUGGAGUGAUGAUGAAGGUAACAGCAGUGUCAAUAGCGAUGAUGUGCUGGAAGGCCUGCAGCCUCACCCAGACAUAAGAAGCUUGACAAUUGAGGGUUAUGGAGGUGAAAAUUUCUCAUCAUGGAUAUUGCAACUCAAUAAUCUGACGGUGCUGAGAUUGGAAGGCUGCAGCAAGUUGAGGCAACUCCCAACACUUGGAUGUCUUCCACGCCUUAAGAUUCUAGAGAUGAGUGAAAUGCGUAAUGUGAAAUGUAUAGGCAAUGAGUUCUAUAGCAGCAGAGACAACGCAGGUGUACUGUUUCCAGCACUACAAAUACUCACUCUAUCCUGGAUGGAUGGUCUUGAAGAAUGGAUGGCACCAGGUGGAGAAGUUGUUGCAGUAUUUCCUUGUCUUGAAGAGUUGACCAUUGAUAACUGUGGAAAGUUGAGGCAACUCCCAACACUUGGAUGUCUUCCACGCCUUAAGAUUCUAAAGAUGAGUGAAAUGCCUAAUGUGAAAUGUAUAGGCAAUGAGUUCUAUAGCAGCAGAGACAACGCAGGUGUACUGUUUCCAGCACUACAAAUACUCACUCUAUCCUGGAUGGAUGGUCUUGAAGAAUGGAUGGCACCAGGUGGAGAAGUUGUUGCAGUAUUUCCUUGUCUUGAAGAGUUGACCAUUGAUAACUGUGGAAAGUUGAAAAGCAUUCCGAUAUGUCGUCUUUCAUCUCUUGUAGAAUUUGAAAUUGACAGUUGUGAUGAGCUGAGAUAUUUGUCUGGUGAAUUUCAUGGCUUCACGUCUCUUCGAGUUUUAAGUAUAGGGAGCUGUCCAAAGCUGGCAUCCAUUCCAAGCGUACAACACUGCACAGCUCUGGUGCAUUUGGGUAUAAAUAGGUGCGGUGAGUUGAUCUCAAUCCCUGGUGAUUUCCGAGAUUUGAAAUGUUCUUUGAAGGAAUUGGAUAUUAGGGGAUGUAAAUUGAGGGCUCUUCCAAGCGGACUACAAUGUUGCGCAUCUCUAGAGAAAUUAUCAAUAAUUAAUUGGAGUGAGCUUAUCCAUAGCAAUGAUUUUCAAGAAUUGUCUUCGCUUCGAACAUUAUUGAUUAGAGGUUGUGAUAAGCUCGUCAGUAUUGAUUGGCAUGGUUUUCGACAAUUGCGUUCUCUUGUUCAAUUAGAAAUCAUCAUGUGUCCCAGUUUGAGAGAUAUCCUAGAGAAUGAUUGGUUGGGCGGCCUCACCCAACUGCAGGAAUUGAGAAUCGGUGGUUUCUCAGAGGAGAUGGAGGCUUUUCCUGUAGGAGUUUUAAACUCAAUCCAACACCUCAACUUGAGUGGGUCCCUCAAAUACCU